rnacentral:misc_RNA from 1 species
GAUGAAGAACGUAGUGAAAUGCGAUACUUGGUGUGAAUUGCAGAAUCCCGUGAACCAUCGAGUCUUUGAACGCAAGUUGCGCCCGAAGCCAUCAGGUUGAGGGCACGUCUGCCUGGGCGUCACAUAUCGUUGCCCAAUGCCUAUUGCAGUGCAAUAGGAAUUUCUAGGGCGAAUGAUGGCUUCCCAUGAGCGUUGUUGCCUCGCGGUUGGUUGAAAAUCGAGUCCUUGGUAGGGUGUGCCAUGGUAGAUGGUGGUCGAGUUAGAACGAUACCGAUCAUGUGCAUGCUCCCCAAAAUAUGGCCUCUAUGACCCACACGCGUCUUUUGACGCUCAUGACGAGACCUCAGGUCAGGCGGGGCUACCCGCUGAAUUUAAGCAUAUCAAUAAGCGGAGGA